CAGUAACUGCGAGUGAAGCGGGAUCGGCUCAAUGUGUGAAUCUGGCUUGGGGUACAUCCCGGGUCCGAGUUGUGCACUAUGGAUGCUUCGUCUGCGUUUGUAAAGGCGGUGGAAGUCCGUUGAAACACGGCACCUCAGAGGGUCACAGUCCUGUACCAUCCGUCUGCACUCGCGCCAAUGACAAGUGCUCCUCGAGUCGCGUAGUUUUGUAAUGCUGCGCCAAGUGGGAGGUAGAGACCUUCUAAGGCUAAAUAUGAUGACGUGACCGAUAGCACACAAGUACCGCGAGGGAAAGGUGAAAAGCAACCAUGAAAAAUGGGUUGAAACAGUAGUGAAAUCGCUACCGGGAUAAGGGCUAUCGGGUGCUGGGGCUCUUUGGGUGUGCUUUAGUGCUACCCUCGGAGACGGCCCGCAAGGGUUGAUGUUGGGGUGAUAGACGCGCUGCAGGAAUUCGGCUGCCUUUGGGCAGUGUUGUAGCCUGCGGUUGCUGAUCCUCCUGCGACCUUGUGUGAUUGCGGGUCUUGCGACCGUUAGCCGCCCGUCUUGAAACACGGACCAAGGAGUGCACCUUGCAUGCGAGUCGAAGGGAUUUGAAACCUGGAGGCGUAGCGAACGCGACGAUGGGGAAUGUCCUUGUGGCAGACACCCGCACCCGCCUUGUGCGAGGUAGAGCAUGUACGGUGCGACCCGAAAGAUGGUGAACUAUGCCCGGGUAAGGUGAAGCCAGUGGAAACGCUGGUGGAGGCCUGUAGCGAUUCUGACGUGCAAAUCGAUCGCGUAACCUGGGUAUAGGGGCGAAAGACCUAUCGAACCGUCUAAU
rnacentral:rRNA from 1 species